AUUUGAAAUGUUUGUGGUAUUCUAUGCUAUCUAUCAAUAUUAAGUUUUGAACCAAUGCAUACACAUGUAAAUAUCUCCAAGUGCUCUUUAUAUGGUUAAAAUGUUGUAUACAGAUUCACUUUUGCCUCCCCUCAACUGUGACAUCUGUCCACUCUAAUGCCAUAUGAGGAUACUGUGAGAUUUGUUAUUAUUUCGUAACAAAACCUGCAGACUAGUGACAUACUUAAGACUUAUUUUAUGUACAUAAUUAGCACACACUUGGAUUUGAUUGUUAAAGGCAAGUAGGUUAAAUAGAGCAUUAUUUGUUCUGCUCUUUCAGAAUUACUUUCAUGUGGGUGUGCAUUUCUUUACAGUAAACAAAAUGAAACAACUGUUGAAAACAACUUUGCAGUGCCUUUAUCUCAGGAAUGUCCUCAUUUUUGUCACCUGAUAAGGGGAACUCAAUAAACAUUGGCUGUAAGUCCAGCAGUGCAAGAAAAAUAACAAUCUCUAAAGGUGGCAGAAUGAAUUCAACAGUUUAUGUACAUGCUAAUUAAUGAGUGACGUGUGCUAAUUACAGACAAGGCUUUCACCUGGCAUCAGAACGCAAAGCCACAGCUCGAAAACGUGUUGCUUCUUUACAGGGACAUGAUUCUAUUUCAAAGGCUUUUUUAAUUCUUGAAGAGACAAAAAGUCAGAUCUACAGUGUCCUUAAGACAUGAAGAAAACCGAGUUAAUACCACAAGUGGGGUGAAAAGCUGGAUAGAGUGCUUAAUCACAUAGUUUCACAGAAACUUCUCAUAGUGGUAGUGAUUGUUCCAAUCACCUGGUGCUGCUCACUCCUGCUCCCAGCCCUGCCAUGACAACAGUUAGCAGUGUGAACUGGUGUGAACUGGAGCCUUUCCUGGCUGAAGUCAACACAAUAAAUCUUUGAUUCACUGCUCUCAGUGUCGCAGCACAGACAGUUCUGCUCGAAGUGCAGCUGAGUGCUGUGGCUGGAAGGAAGGGUGAGAUGCUUAAGCCAGUAUUUUUGGCAGAUGAUUGAACAUGAAUGGAGAUUUCCUUUGGAAAGAAAUAUACAUGAAGCAACUGCACAGCACACUAAAAAUGGCCAUCAAGAGACACUUUGAUAAUGCAGCAGAUAUUCAGUUGUGUGUUACAAACUGACCCAGGCUUUAAUCUGCAGACAAUGAGUGACCACUUCAAUCCAGAACAAGGAACAUCAACCCAAAGUACUGAAAGCUGCUCUUCAGAAGGACCAAGGCAUGCAAAGCCUUUUAAGCUCCCAGGCAAACCAGGGGCCUGCUGUUCAUACUACCUUCUCCUGUAGUUUCCAGUAAUUUAUGAAAUUACCAACCUUCUUUGACAGGUCACUAAUUUCAGAAUCCAGUCUACUUUUAAAAAUCGAGGAACUGUUUUUACAGACAUUUAUUGUUGGAUUCUGUACUGAACAGUGAUCUACUGGUCAUCAAGCAGUUACUUAUACUUUGUCAGAUUAAUGAUAAGUGGGGAAAAACUUGAAGAGUUUUUUUUCCAAGACACUGAAUGACAAUGUUUUAUGUUCUUACUCUAGAAAUCAGGAAAAUCAGCCAAGGACUUGGAAAUACCAGAUUGAGCUACAUGCUCUUAAUGCAUUUUCUUUCCCCUGUUUUUAUCUAUUUAUUUAUUAUACUUGAAAAAUAUGACACUUCUCCUUUUGUGUAUCUGUUCAAAAUGCUCCAUCUUUUGUCCAUCAUUUCAUGUUCCAUCUCUGUCAGUGAUGAUGCAGCCACUGUAGGGAGGGGUAAGUAUCAACCCCUGCUUCUGUCAUACAGGCAGACAUUUUCCUUACUGGUUUUUGUUUAAUUUGAAGGCUCUGGUAUAUAUUAUGCAGUAUAGUCUCUUAUAAGCCUGUGAUGCCUGGUGUGUGUGCUUCCUGGAGAUGCUACACAGUGGGCAGAGCUCUUUGCAAAGACCUGUAUAAUGAGCUGCACUUUUAACAUUACUGUCUUUUAAUUUUCUUUUGCCUGAAUGUGCUUUCCAUCUUUCCUUUGGUUUCUCUGUUUAGCCUUUUUCCCCUCCCCCUUGUUUUCCCUUAAUAUUUCCAAAGAAUUGAAAAGGACAAAUACAAGCUAAUCUGAUCUCUGCCCUCUUUUCUGCUUUAGCAAAGCUUUUAGCUUCCCCUCUCAAGCUCUUUUUAAAUUUGUUUUGUUUUCUUUACAUUUCCUUCCCUCCCCCCAAGAAAAAAAAAUCACUACUCCAAUGUAAAAGAAAUUACCAAGCUGUAGCAGGACAUGCAAUCAUGGUGACAUAAGACAAAAAUCUGUAUUUUCCAGAUGUACCUGUGUUCUAUACCAGGCUUGUACCUCCUGCUGCAAAAUAAGCACGAGGACAAGAGAAUAAAGAGAAAUAUAUUUCAAGCUUC